UACGAAGGGGGCUAGCGUUGUUCGGAAUCACUGGGCGUAAAGCGCACGUAGGCGGGUUGUUAAGUCAGGGGUGAAAUCCUGGAGCUCAACUCCAGAACUGCCUUUGAUACUGGCAACCUAGAGGCUGGAAGAGGUUAGUGGAAUUCCCAGUGUAGAGGUGAAAUUCGUAGAUAUUGGGAAGAACACCAGUGGCGAAGGCGGCUAACUGGUCCAGAUCUGACGCUGAGGUGCGAAAGCGUGGGGAGCAAACAGG
rnacentral:rRNA from 1 species